rnacentral:tRNA from 1 species
GUCGUGGCGCAGGGGCAAGCGUGUGACUGUAAAGGCAACAGGUCGUGGGUUCGAUUUCCACUCGACG